rnacentral:ncRNA from 1 species
AAAUUCCUUGUCGGGUAAGUUCCGACCCGCACGAAAGGCUUAACGACUUGGCGACUGUCUCAAGGAGGGACUCGGCGAAAUUGCAGUGGCCGUGAAGAUGCGGCCAACCUACACCAGGACAAAAAGACCCCGUGGAGCUUUACUGCAGCUUGGCAUUGAUUCAGUUUUUAGGACUGUAUAGGAUAGGUGGGAGUCAAGUACCAUACGGUACCUGACAACAGUGUAAUACCACUCUUCUUGAUGAUUGAAUCUAUCACCGUAUUUCCUAAUAAAAAACAGGAUGCGGGACAGUGUCUGGUGGGCAGUUUGACUGGGGCGGUCGCCUCCAAAAGAGUAACGGAGGCGUACAAAGGUCGGCUCAACUCCUAUAGAAACGGAGCAUUAGAGCGUAAUGGCAUAAGCCGGCUUGACUGCGAGUGGUACAUCACAAGCAGGUGCGAAAGCAGGUCAUAGUGAUCCUCACAUGGCUCGUGGGAGCGUGUGAGCUUAACGGAUAAAAGCUACCCCGGGGAUAACAGGCUUAUCUUCCCCAAGAGUCCAUAUCGACGGGAAGGUUUGGCACCUCGAUGUCGGCUCGUCGUAUCCUCCUGCUGAAGUAGGCGGGAAGGGUUGGGCUGUUCGCCCAUUAAAACGGCACGCGAGCUGGGUUCAGAACGUAAGUUACAUUGCGUUCUACCACAGUAAUGUGGUACAACAAAUCCAACUAAAAUCGGAGAAACCCUAAUUGAGUUAACCGA